rnacentral:tRNA from 1 species
GCCGAUGUAGCUCAGGGGUAGAGCAGCUGAUUCGUAAUCAGCAGGCCGGCGGUUCGAAACCGCCCAUCGGCUCCA